GGAACAUCCGGACACUUCGUUACUUGACCGGCAGAGGAGUAUUUCGUGUGAGUGUUUUGAAAGUGUUUGCGUGUCCUCUGCGGAAAAUUGAAGGAAAGUGGAUGAAACCUUGCGUCUGCGGAGAGGAAAGAGGAGGAAGAUUUCAGGAAGUAGUGUGGUGUUUCCGUUCUGCUGCUGGUGGUGCUGCUGCUGCUGGUGGCGCUGCUCAUGGUGGUGCUGCUGCUGAACGUGAGUGUACCAAGGUCGCUUCUCGUCCCCUCAACCAGACAUGCAUAGCGAGGACCAGCCGACGCAUUUUUUCCCACCUGUGUCUCAGUCUGGAAGCUUGCAGGUGUUACACUUCUCAAAGCCUCGUCCGCAUGCAGUUUCGUUCUCUUUUUUUUCUUUCAUGAUCUGCCCUCGAUUUUCAUCCUCCUCAUUUCCUCCUCUUCUUCCUGGUAUUCCUGCUGCUUCCCCUGCCCAAGGCCACGUAUGAGGGCGUGGCGGUGAUGGCCAGGCGGCUCAGGUGUCCCGUCAAUGUCACGCGCAGCAGCAACACCUUGAAAAAUUGCACGGUCAGCUUCUUCGCGCCUCCUUCCUGGUAUUGUCUCCCUUAAAAGCCAGUCGUGCUCGGCCGCCGUGACCUACGUGUGGAAUUAUCGUCAUGAGAAGCGUUUUCCUCUCAUGGAGUUGUUGUGCGCAUGCUGUGACUGAUGACUGAUUCACCCUGUCAGUUUUCCCUCAGUAUAUGAAACCUCUGAGGAAUGUGCGAAUCGGCAUCUGUCUCUUAUACUUAUGUUUUUCCCUCUUUUCCUUCCUUUUUUUUUU